rnacentral:rRNA from 1 species
GACGAACGCUGGCGGCGUGCUUAACACAUGCAAGUCGAGCGAUGAAGUUUCUUCGGAAAUGGAUUAGCGGCGAACGGGUGAGGAACACGUGAAGAAUCUGCCCUCCACUUUGGGAUAACACCGGGAAACCGGUGCUAAUACUGAAUAUUGAAACAUAAGUGGCAUCACUGAGUUUUGAAAGAAUUUCGGUGGAGGAUGACUUCGCGGCCUAUCAGCUAGUUGGUGAGGUAAUGGCUCACCAAGGCAACGACGGGUAGCCGGCCUGAGAGGGCGACCGGCCACACUGGGACUGAGACACGGCCCAGACUCCUACGGGAGGCAGCAGUGGGGAAUAUUGGGCAAUGGAGGAAACUCUGAUGCAGCCAUGCCGCGUGCAGGAUGACGGCCCUACGGGUUGUAAACUGCUUUUUUACAAGAAGAAACCUUGGUACGUGUACCAACUUGACGGUAUUGUAAGAAUAAGCACCGGCUAACUCCGUGCCAGCAGCCGCGGUAAUACGGAGGGUGCAAGCGUUAUCCGGAUUUAUUAGGUUUAAAGGGUUCGCAGGCGGAAUUUUAAGUCAGUGGUGAAAGCCUAUAGCUCAACUAUAGAACUGCCACUGAUACUGAUAUUCUUGAGUGUAGAUGAAGUGGGCGGAAUAUGUCAUGUAGCGGUGAAAUGCAUAGAUAUGACAUGGAACACCAAUUGCGAAGGCAGCUCACUAAACUAUUACUGACGCUCAUGAACGAAAGCAUGGGGAGCGAACAGGAUUAGAUACCCUGGUAGUCCAUGCUGUAAACUAUGAUCACUAGAUGUUGGCGAUACACUGUCAGUGUUUAAGAGAAAUCGUUAAGUGAUCCACCUGGGGAGUACGUUCGCAAGAAUGAAACUCAAAGGAAUUGACGGGGGCCCGCACAAGCGGAGGAACAUGUGGUUUAAUUCGAUGAUACGCGAGGAACCUUACCAAGGCUUAAAUGUAGAUUGACAGAUUGUGAAAACAGU